rnacentral:rRNA from 1 species
ACUAUCGUUAACUGAAUACAUAGGUUAACGAGGCGAACCGGGGGAACUGAAACAUCUAAGUACCCCGAGGAAAAGAAAUCAACCGAGAUUCCCCCAGUAGCGGCGAGCGAACGGGGAGCAGCCCAGAGUCUGAAUCAGCUUGUGUGUUAGUGGAACGGUCUGGAAAGUCCGACGGUACAGGGUGAUAGUCCCGUACACCAAAAUGCACAGGUUGUGAACUCGAAGAGUAGGGCGGGACACGUGGUAUCCUGUCUGAAUAUGGGGGGACCAUCCUCCAAGGCUAAAUACUCCUGACUGACCGAUAGUGAACCAGUACCGUGAGGGAAAGGCGAAAAGAACCCCGGCGAGGGGAGUGAAAAAGAACCUGAAACCGUGUACGUACAAGCAGUGGGAGCACCUUCGGGUGUGACUGCGUACCUUUUGUAUAAUGGGUCAGCGACUUAUAUUCUGUAGCAAGGUUAACCGUAUAGGGGAGCCGCAGGGAAACCGAGUCUUAACUGGGCGUUAAGUUGCAGGGUAUAGACCCGAAACCCGGUGAUCUAGCCAUGGGCAGGUUGAAGGUUGGGUAACACUAACUGGAGGACCGAACCGACUAAUGUUGAAAAAUUAGCGGAUGACUUGUGGCUGGGGGUGAAAGGCCAAUCAAACCGGGAGAUAGCUGGUUCUCCCCGAAAGCUAUUUAGGUAGCGCCUCGUGAACUCAUCUUCGGGGGUAGAGCACUGUUUCGGCUAGGGGGUCAUCCCGACUUACCAACCCGAUGCAAACUACGAAUACCGAAGAAUGUUAUCACGGGAGACACACGGCGGGUGCUAACGUCCGUCGUGAAGAGGGAAACAACCCAGACCGCCAGCUAAGGUCCCAAAGUCAUGGUUAAGUGGGAAACGAUGUGGGAAGGCACAGACAGCCAGGAUGUUGGCUUAGAAGCAGCCAUCAUUUAAAGAAAGCGUAAUAGCUCACUGGUCGAGUCGGCCUGCGCGGAAGAUGUAACGGGGCUAAACCAUGCACCGAAGCUGCGGCAGCGACACUAUGUGUUGUUGGGUAGGGGAGCGUUCUGUAAGCCUGCGAAGGUGNUGCUGGAGGUAUCAGAAGUGCGAAUGCUGACAUAAGUAACGAUAAAGCGGGUGAAAAGCCCGCUCGCCGGAAGACCAAGGGUUCCUGUCCAACGUUAAUCGGGGCAGGGUGAGUCGACCCCUAAGGCGAGGCCGAAAGGCGUAGUCGAUGGGAAACAGGUUAAUAUUCCUGUACUUGGUGUUACUGCGAAGGGGGGACGGAGAAGGCUAUGUUAGCCGGGCGACGGUUGUCCCGGUUUAAGCAUGUAGGCUGGUUAUCCAGGCAAAUCCGGAUAAUCAAGGCUGAGGUGUGAUGACGAGGCACUACGGUGCUGAAGUAACAAAUGCCCUGCUUCCAGGAAAAGCCUCUAAGCAUCAGGUAACAUCAAAUCGUACCCCAAACCGACACAGGUGGUCAGGUAGAGAAUACCAAGGCGCUUGAGAGAACUCGGGUGAAGGAACUAGGCAAAAUGGUGCCGUAACUUCGGGAGAAGGCACGCUGGUGUGUAGGUGAAGUCCCUGCGGAUGGAGCUGAGACCAGUCGAAGAUACCAGCUGGCUGCAACUGUUUAUUAAAAACACAGCACUGUGCAAACACGAAAGUGGACGUAUACGGUGUGACGCCUGCCCGGUGCCGGAAGGUUAAUUGAUGGGGUUAUCCGUAAGGAGAAGCUCUUGAUCGAAGCCCCGGUAAACGGCGGCCGUAACUAUAACGGUCCUAAGGUAGCGAAAUUCCUUGUCGGGUAAGUUCCGACCUGCACGAAUGGCGUAAUGAUGGCCAGGCUGUCUCCACCCGAGACUCAGUGAAAUUGAACUCGCUGUGAAGAUGCAGUGUACCCGCGGCAAGACGGAAAGACCCCGUGAACCUUUACUAUAGCUUGACACUGAACAUUGAGCCUUGAUGUGUAGGAUAGGUGGGAGGCUUUGAAGCGUGGACGCCAGUCUGCGUGGAGCCAACCUUGAAAUACCACCCUUUAAUGUUUGAUGUUCUAACGUUGGCCCCUGACCGGGGUUGCGGACAGUGUCUGGUGGGUAGUUUGACUGGGGCGGUCUCCUCCCAAAGCGUAACGGAGGAGCACGAAGGUUAGCUAAUCCUGGUCGGACAUCAGGAGGUUAGUGCAAUGGCAUAAGCUAGCUUGACUGCGAGCGUGACGGCGCGAGCAGGUGCGAAAGCAGGUCAUAGUGAUCCGGUGGUUCUGAAUGGAAGGGCCAUCGCUCAACGGAUAAAAGGUACUCCGGGGAUAACAGGCUGAUACCGCCCAAGAGUUCAUAUCGACGGCGGUGUUUGGCACCUCGAUGUCGGCUCAUCACAUCCUGGGGCUGAAGUAGGUCCCAAGGGUAUGGCUGUUCGCCAUUUAAAGUGGUACGCGAGCUGGGUUUAGAACGUCGUGAGACAGUUCGGUCCCUAUCUGCCGUGGGCGCUGGAGAAUUGAGGGGGGCUGCUCCUAGUACGAGAGGACCGGAGUGGACGCAUCACUGGUGUUCGGGUUGUCAUGCCAAUGGCACUGCCCGGUAGCUAAAUGCGGAAGAGAUAAGUGCUGAAAGCAUCUAAGCACGAAACUUGCCCCGAGAUGAGUUCU